rnacentral:rRNA from 1 species
CAGUAGCCACGGGAAUACGGAGGGAGCUAGCGUUGUUCGGAAUUACUGGGCGUAAAGCGCGCGUAGGCGGUUACUCAAGUCAGAGGUGAAAGCCCGGGGCUCAACCCCGGAACUGCCUUUGAAACUAGGUGACUAGAAUCUUGGAGAGGUCAGUGGAAUUCCGAGUGUAGAGGUGAAAUUCGUAGAUAUUCGGAAGAACACCAGUGGCGAAGGCGGCUCACUGGACGACUGUUGACGCUGAGGUGCGAAAGCGUGGGGAGCAGACAGGAUUAGAUACCCCUGUAGUCCCUGUCUCUUAUAC